GCUACUGUGGCCUAGUGGUUAGAGCGUCCGCCUCGGAUGCGGGAGGUCGUGGGUUGGAUCCCCGGUCGAGUCAUACCA